GCGAUCACUUUGCAAAAAUCACUGCUGUGUACAACAGCGGUGCUGGGAUCACUCAGAAUGAGGCUUAAAAGCUGAGGACAGGGAAUGGAUUCUGAUUUUGCCUACCCUGUUUUGGAAGCUGAGUGACUCCCAUUGGCUUCAGCACCUCUUGGAUUUAAGUAUUGCAGUCCCAGUUCAACAAGUUCAUUGCUUCUGGAUCCCUCUCGGUGGCUUCAGAGAAGAAUCCCAUAGACUGUCAUAUGAAAGGCAGCCUGGGGAUGAACAUCAUCAGUGCUAUUGCUGCGAUUGUGGGGCUAAUUCUAAUGAUUGCAGAUGUGUCUAUUAGGAGCAUGCCAUACAAUGAGUCUUAUUUUCUGCUUAUGUCUACAGAGGGGAUAACAGCCAUGCUCAUCAUCUUCAGUAUCCUGGAGUUGGUUGUUGCAAUCCGAGUCACUCAUUUUGGGUACCAAAUCUUCUGUUGCCAACCUAGGGCUCCAUUCAUUAUACAGAACUCCUGCCUAACUGUUGCAGUCCCUCCUCCAGAAGCGUCCCCUCCACCACCGUACAACUAUUCAGCUUCCAAUCCCAGGAAUCUGGCAAAAUAGAGAGGCUAAGAAGAAACCAGAGGGAGAAACAGAACGUUGCAGCAACAUGAGUUGCAGUUCAGCUAAAGAGGAAAUCUCAAUUCUUCUGCUCAAUUAAUUUGUUUUGACACAUUACUAGCCUACAGAUCCAUGAGUUUCUUAAAUAGAUCUCCUCCCCAGAGAAGGAACUUUUUCUUGCUGUGAAAAUCCUGUCUUUAAUGCAGUUGGUUUCUCUGCAGUCCUUUCUGUUUUGGUCCCUUGUAGAAAGGUAUGUGCAAUUCUCUUCACUAAGCUCCACAAAGAUGUUCUGAUGCUGGAUGAGUCCCUUAAUGUUAGGUUGUAUACUUUUAUUAUUCACUUUUAAAUAAAACCUCUGUUGAGAUUUUUCCUC